GAUUAGUUUUGAUAAGUUGGGCGUAUAUAUGAAAAAAGAGAGUAUAUAUAUGUGACUGAUAUGAAUAUAGGGUUUUAGAUGGCCGGAAAGGUUUCAAAUUUGGCUUCCUCUUCUCCAUGGAUUCCCCGAGAUGAUCUCCUCUUAAAGAAUGCAGUCGAGGCUGGUGCCUCAUUUGAAGCACUUGCGAAAGGAGCUGUGCGAUUGUCUCGUACGUUUACAGCUCCUGAGCUGCGAGAACGGUGGCAUUUGCUUCUGUGUGAUCCUGAUGUUUCGAUUCAAGCUUCUGCCAGGAUGCUGGAGCUUGAAAUCUCUGGUUUUGAUUCGUCGUUAUUGGUUGGUAGGUCAGAAAAUGCUAAAAGUGCAGGCCUCACUCAAAGAGGAAGAAUUUAAGCAUUCGUAGGCAAUAUAAUGCCAUUCGGACGAGACUUAAAACUGAGCUUUUUGACUCUAAUGAUGUAUGCCUGCUAGGAACCAGUGUACAUGAUAGUGGGAGUGGUGGUACUAAUUAUAUGCUUCGUGAUUGUUUCUCAGAUCAAGUUGGGCUUGAGGAUUCAGACUUUGAUGUCCUCCAUCGAGAUUUUCCUCAACAAGCAGGAGAUAUAGGUCCUGCCGGCAGCGUUGAUCAUACGGUGAAUGUUUAUGAAACACAAUGCCGGAACCUAACUGAUUAUAAUCAUUUAGUUACAAAUGUAAGGGAGGAUAAUGUAUAUGGCUUCUCUGAGAACAUCCCCUCUAUGGUUGCAGAUGAUGCAAGGGGUUCACCCAAGUCGCUUUACACUAGCACCCAAUAUCCUCCGCAGGAGCUUCCAAAUGAUAAUCAUUUUGAAGCAGAUUCAGAUGGUAGUGUGUUAUUAUUACAGGCAACGGGAUUUUCAUCUCAAAUGCCAAGGCUUCCUCUACGGAAAACAAUGGAAGACAUGCCAGUACCUGCUAUGCCAGUGCAUAUGAAUGAGAGAGAUACAACUCAUGUUGUUGAAAAGGCUUCACAACUUUCCGAUAACUACCUGAAAAGGGGGAAAAAUGCAUCAGGAGUUGAUGUCAACUCAGAGCAUCUGAUGAAAAACAGACAAAAUGGUGAGUGCCACAAUUUAGAAGCUGUCGGCAGCAAUGUUUCUCAGGGUGAGUUUUCAGAUCUUUCAUGUUCACUUUUAAACUUCCCUAAUGCGGAUGAGUUUCUUUUAAUGAAUGUUGAUGGGAAAGAUGCAAUGCAUAGCGCUUCCAAUGAGAAUGUUGAUUCACUAUUUAUAAAUUCUGCUGGUGAUGCUAAGGAAAGUGGGUUAUGCAAUAUCGAGCCUUUAAAGUUAUGCAAUAUUGAGCCUUGUACAACAUCAGUUUCAAGUACUUGCCCUAAAAUUCCUUGUAGUCCACGUGGUAUGGAAUUAAAAAACAGUGUGUCGUUUCUGCAUGGUGAUGUUCAGCAUAAUACUAUACAUGCUGAAAUAAAUGUAGCUUCUACAUCAAUUUUGCAUUCUGAUUCUUCCCAAUUCAAGGAAGAAGUCUGUUGCAUGUUAAAUACUGAGGACACAGAAAUUCCUUGCAAUGAUGACAUUUUCCUGCUCAUUCAUUCAACAUCUUGUUCUCCUGUGCAGAAACCGUUUACCAUAUCAUCUAUUGAUCGUUCUUCUUCUGCCGACGAAGAGGACAUUGAUCGAGGUGUAUAUCUGAUGGAAAAAGUGAAUGAUCCAGCACUAUCAUAUGAGCCCUCCCCGGCACGUGGACUGAAUAAGUUGCCUGAAUUAUAUCGUGGUCUUCCACUUGCUGGUGGCAAAAUCAAAUCAGAGGUUCUUGAUCCUAAAUUUUCUAGUCUUCAACCUGGUGACUUUAGCAAGACAACUAGAGACUUGAGUCAAAGUAGAUCUGUGGCAACUAGUGUCACCUUUGCAGAUGGAGUGAUUGAGGAAGAUGUUAAAGUUGAACCACUGGUACUGGUAUCAGAUAACCUUUCUGCAUAUAUGGAAACAGCUCUACCUGCAGAAGCAGUCAGUGAAAUUGUUGAUAAUCCUUCUGCAUCAGAACAGGAUGAACCUGAGAGUGAGAAUGACGUGCCUUAUUUUUCUGAUAUUGAAGCUAUGAUACUUGAAAUGGACUUGCCUCCACAUGACCAGGAUUCAUAUACAAGUAGUAGGCGUGGCUUAAAACAUGAAGAUGCGGAUGCUAGAAAAAAAAUUAUUAGACUUGAACAGUGUGCCCGAGCAUCAUUGCGAAGGAAAAUGACAUCUCACCGCGCACUUGCUUUCUUGUAUGGCCGUCGUUUGAAGCAUUAUCUGAAGAAAAUGGAGGUACUUCUUGGAAGAUCAACAGAUGAUUUUGAUGUUGAUAUUGAUUUGAGAAAAGAAGGUCGAGUGCGAGCCAGCUCAAUAUCCAGACGACAGGCAUCCAUCAAGAUGAAGACUGAUGGAUCCUUUGCUAUAAAAAAUCUUAGUAAAAGUUCAAUUUUAGUGAAUGGCAAAGCAAUUGCUUGUGAACAGUCAUCAUGUCUAAGUUCAAGCUCUUUAAUUGAGUUGAGUAGAACUGCUGGAACCGCCGGAAGUUGGCUGUCAUGUGGGGCGCCAAUUAGCUGGAAAGCAAGUAAAGGGCCUUUGUUCUGGGAGCAACUCAGCUGAGUGUUAAUAUGAGGAAGUGGGGACUGGAGUCUGGAAGUAAACUUGUACUCCCCUGGGACAUCUAUGCAUUGUAUUUGAGGUUGUAAGAAUAAUGAUGAAAGGGUGUAGGAAUAAUGCGAUUGCAAGUCACUAGAGUUGCAGGAAUAAGGCGAUUGUAAGAAUUGUGUGCAAGUUCCGGAGUUGGGGCUGCUAGAUGUGGGAAGUGCGGUAGUUGGCGCUUGGUGGUAUUAGUUGGGUUGCGGGUAGUAAGUGCUUGAUCUGCCUGCAUUGUGGUAGUAACAUCAUUUUGUUUAAUCUAUGGGGUCAAUUGACGUGGAAGGUGCUAUAAUAUGAUAUUUUAUGGUCAUGAAGAUCAUUCAUUUUUUAAGAUAGUAUUAGAGCUUAAUUAUAAGUUCAAGUUAUGGUCUA